GGAAUAUAAGAACUCGACUCUUAAUUUUUAACUGAAAAUGCUAAGAGUCGACUCUUAAAUAAGAGAUUUAAGAGCCGACUCUUAACUUUUUCAGUUAAGAGUCGGGUUCUUAUAUUCU
rfam:Brassica oleracea var. oleracea cultivar TO1000 chromosome C5, whole genome shotgun sequence